UACAUUCAUAAUGCAUUUAGAUUAAGUCAGAUUAUAAUAAUGAGGUCUAAGGAAGACUAGGAUAAUAAGAAAAAUACAUUUUACUUUGCUUAGACUGAAGUUUAAGUUUUUUAAAACUUAAAAUUGGUGGGUUUCAUACAUGAAUUGCGAAGAAUUUGAAUAACACUUUAUCCCAAUCUAUUGUGGCUACACUGUUCAAUGGUUCUUCAAUCAGUAUACUUUGAUAACGGGGUUAUCGCAAUAAUACUCGAUGUCGCUAUCUAAUUCUGUAUUUUGAUAAUGAUCAUUUGUUCUAAUUUUCGACUUACUGUUAAUAAAUAAUUUCAAAUUUAUUAUAAAUUUGUUACAUACGCUUUACUGGCAUUAGUCCAUGACCAAAUAUUUGUUUAUUUAAUUAUGACAUUAAUCGUUACUUUCAAUUUAGUUCUUUUUUCUUGCUACUGAAUUUCUAAAAUACCAUAAAAAGUUGCUACAUUUAUAUAAGGACGUUAAAAACGGCCCUAGAUCAGUUUGAAAGAAGGUUAUCCGUGGAUGUAAAACUGUUUUAAUAUCACCAUAUAAAAUUAAAAAUUUGUGGUAUACAACCAAGUGCAACACACAAUGAUUUACCUAUUGGUUUUCUAAAUAUUAACUUUAAUCCAUACAACCUUGCUACAGAAGUUUAAUAAAGAAAACACUAAGUAGAAUUAUAAGAAUAACACUAAAGAUUGUUUAAGGAAUAUUAAUGUUAACUAAUUCGCCAUAAAGUCGUAUAAUUGCACAAGUUCCAUUAAUAUAUGACAUUUUUCCUGUAUUUGUGAAAUGUAAAAAUGAUCUUUUGAUUUUUAUGUACACAAAUAAGGAUAUAAGGUCUAAUAUAUGCUAUUAUGCAAUCGUAUGGUUCAAAAUGGAAGCUGUAUUAUACCAAGAAAUGUAAAAACAAUGAAGAAGGAAAUAAUGAAAUCUAUUUUGAUAAUGUUACAGAUUACCACUGAAGGUACCUAAUUGAACAACCACUGGGUUGCUGAAGGAUUUUGAUGUUUACCAAUCCUUGUCAUUAUGCAUUAGUUGGACCUCACAAUUAUUAUCCAAAAGAUAUGACUAUUCUGUUGGCUGUCCUUUUUUGGGCAAAACUGUGAAGUAAAAAAAUAUACUUAAUUAGAUGACAAGGUAAAUCUUGUGUACAAAAUAUACACAACUUGUAUGUACACAGUUAAAGAAAUUUGACAUAAUAUACUAGCAUAUUCAGAAGUAUUACAAUUUAACAGAUUUCCACGCCACCUUAGCAAUUGUAUUUAACAAAAUUGGAGGUGUAUACAUUGAAAGUGUGUCAAAGCCACCAAAUAAUAACUCAUGGCAUUGAGUUAUGUCUUUUAACACGAUUAUAAAUGCCAACUACAUAAUCCAAUUGGUUUUGGUUUUCCUUCAAAAUUGAGCCAUAAUAAUUUGUAUCCUUUGGUAAUUUAUUUUCAUAUAGGUACAUCUAUUUUGCACUGUAGACCAUCUACUGGAGAUUUAUAACUUAUUAUAGAAAGAAAAUAUUCUGAUGAUGUCUUAUUUGGAGUUACAAUUUUGUCAUCAGAUUUUAUGGAAUCAAAUGAGAAAAUGUUCACAUUUGGUGCAUUUGGUGUCACACAAUUAACAUAAUCUUUUACCUUUUUAAUUGGUAACAAAUGGUUCAUAACCAUCCAUGCCUUUAGUUGCUUUGAAGCUGCUUUUUAAUCACCCUGGAAAUAGAAUCCUGUUUUUUUCUUUUUUGGUCCCUGCAUUAUUUUUCUUCAUUGUCGUCAGAUGAUCAAAUAAAUUUUCCACAUUUCAUAUGCAUUGUUUGUUUGUCUUUUAAUCUCCAAAUCAACUCACUGCUGGAGCAUUGCUUCCUCUGUCUGUUGACCCAAAUACUCUGAAUCACAUGACACCUGUCCACAUUAGAAUCACCGGAAUGAUAGACCUCAUGAUAUCAUUGUGAAAUUCAACGCUAAUACAAUGGAUUUUGUUCAAAGCUAGAACACAUUUUUAAUGUUUCUUUUACCCGAACGACUAUAUUUUCUAACCAAGACAAGAACUUGGAAUUUUUAUAUUGAUCAUCAACUAGACUACUUGGAUUUUCAUGGCUGAGCAGCUCAAGGUCUUCAUGGCAUCAUCCACAUCUAGUCUUGCAGGGUGAAAACAAUUCCAUUGCAACUGCAGUGAACCAUUUGCCCAGACAUUCUGUGGCGGUUAUGUUGAAAGCUGCCAAUAUACACACAGUUGCCUAGCACUCUAAAGACCCAUUGGUUAUCUUCUUUUCAUUUCCUUUGUAGAUGUUUUUGGUUAAAUGACAACAACAAAGACUUAUUAGUGUGUUGAAAUUAAACAUUUUCCCCUCAUGCAUGAACUCUUAACAUUUAUUCAAAUAUUCCAUGAUCUCGUUACAUUCGUUAAAUGCUCUCACAAACCCUUUUAAUAUUGCUGUUGAAAUGUCACUGACAACGUGUGUCAUGAACUUUGUACCACACUGUAGUUCAUAUCAUUUUCGAUACUCCAACAGCCAAUUUGUUAUCGCACUAGCAGUUUGUAGCAGAUAUUCUGCCAUUGAAAAUUAUCCUCUUAUUGCACAUGGUGACGGCCGCUUAAUACAAUAGUAAUUUUUAUUUUAUUUUUCCUGUUUUUAAUAGCCUUGAAUCUCUUAUAGCUUCUCUCAUCACCUCGCAAGUCGCAUUGAUAUAAAUUGUAACAAAUUUUAUUUUUCUUAAAACGUUAACUUGAUCUUGACUUACAAAUAAGUUUCAAAAUUGUUCUCCUUUGGAUUAUCGGAUACGUACUGAUUAAACUUUGAACAUUUAUCUUUCAAUAAAUGAAUAUUGAACCUAUCGUCACUAGUCAGCCUCUCAAUCAUCACGACUCUUUUCCUCAUGAGACACCUUAUAGCAUGCGUGAUCAAACCUGAUGUUCUACAAGUUACCAUUCUUAAGUUUACUAGGAGAUGCUUUUAAACUCAUCGGUGGACAAUAGUUUGACAUUUGUUUUUGUAUUUGUCGAUUUUUUCCUUUCAUUAAUGUAGUCAGUUUACCAUAGUGGCUGUAAUUGUGGCUGUUAUUCAGAACUGUUAUUUGUGCCAAACCAUCAGUCGAUUUAGCAAUGUGUUCUCCGCCACAAGUGAAAACUGUUAACAAAAUUCAUGCCGACAUAAACCUUUACAUGUUAAACUUUCAUUGGUAAUAUUUUUAUUUUUGAUUGUCAGUACACAAGAGAUAUUUACAGUUUCAAAUUUUUCAAGUAACAAAUCAUUUAUUUCUUUUGAAAUAAUAAGAUUUCUUUGCAAUUA